rnacentral:tRNA from 1 species
GGGUGUUUAGCUCAGUGGGAGAGCAUCGCCCUUACAAGGCGAGGGUCGUGGGUUCAAAUCCCUCAACACCUA